UACCUGGUUGAUCCUGCCAGUAGUCAUAUGCUUGUCUCAAAGAUUAAGCCAUGCAAGUCUAAGUACGAGCUCUCGUACAGUGAAACUGCGAAUGGCUCAUUAAAUCAGUUAUGGUUCAUUUGAUCGUACAGUUUACUUGGAUAACUGUGGUAAUUCUAGAGCUAAUACAUGCGAGAAGCGCCGACCUCGCGGGAGGCGUGCAUUUAUCAGACCAAAAACCGGCCGCGUCUUCGGGCGCGUUCGCCUUGGUGACUCUGGAUAACUUUGCGGAUCGCACGGUCUAGCACCGGCGACGGAUCAUUCAAGUGUCUGCCCUAUCAACUUUCGUCGGUACGGUAUUUGCCUACCGAGGUUCUUACGGGUGACGGGGAAUCAGGGUUCGAUUCCGGAGAGGGAGCCGGAGAAACGGCUACCACAUCCAAGGAAGGCAGCAGGCGCGCAAAUUACCCAUUCCCGACGCGGGGAGGUAGUGACGAAAAAUAACAAUGCAGGACUCGUUCGAGGCCCUGUAAUUGGAAUGAGUACACUUUAAAAGCUUUAACGAGUAUCCAUUGGAGGGCAAGUGUGGUGCCAGCAGCCGCGGUAAUUCCAGCUCCAAAAGUAUAUAUUUAAGUUGUUGCGGUUAAAAAGCUCGUAGUUGGAUUUUGGGCGCAGGCGGCCGGUCCGUCGCAAGGCGUGUACUGGACGUCCUGGCCUUCCCUACGGUUCUCCGGCGGUGCUCUUGACUGAGUGUCGGUGGGGGCCGGAACGUUUACUUUGAAAAAUUAGAGUGUUCAAAGCAGGCUCUCGAGCCUGGAUAAUGGUGCAUGGAAUAAUGGAAUAGGACCUC
rfam:Ciona savignyi cont_42554, whole genome shotgun sequence.